rnacentral:tRNA from 1 species
UCCCUGGUGGCUCAGCUGGUAAAGAAUCCGCCUGCAAUGCGGGAGACCUGGGUUCAAUCCCUGGGUAGGGAA